rnacentral:lncRNA from 1 species
CUAAAAACUGAAUUUAUUAUUUGUUUUUAAAUAAUAUUUGUUAAAAGACUUUCAGUUUUCUAUCGAGCUUACCAAUUUUUCAGUAUUGUUUUUUAAGUUAUUUAAUCCUUCAUUAAAAACUUUCAAUUAGUUUCAGUUCUUCAGUUAUUUACUUUGCAUUAAGUUGCAAAAAAGAAGCUGAUAAAAAAAUUUUAUGAGAAAUAUUUUUCUUAUAAAAUACAGUAAUAGUUAUAUAAUACAGCAACAGCAAAUGGAUUAAGAAAGACCGGGCGUCAACAUUUGCUAACACAAGUCAAUUUGAGGCAAUCAAACCGGAAUGAAUCAAAACACAACAACAAAAAGAAUUCGGAGAUAAAUAAACUUAGACAAACUUAGAGAAAAUCUACAACAUAAAUAUACUAAAUUUUUAAAAUAUCUGCUGAAAAUUGAUAUUUGACUGAUUGCCGUGUUACUAUUUAAGAGAUUGUGAUACUAGUCUUUUUUAGCAAUAUGCGUUAUUAGAUUUAUUCAUAAAUAUUACAUAUCAUCAUUACGCGUUAUAAAUGCGUUGAAAAAAAUCAGAAGAAAUGCCUCACCGGCAAACAAGUUGUCAUUUUUAUAUAAUACAUGAAAAACCUGUCAGCAAAUUUAUGUCUUUAAUUUUUAGCAGAAUUA